CGGUUAAAAAGCUCGUAGUUGGAUUUCUGUCGGAGACGCGCGGUCCGCACUAUGUGCGUGUAUCUGUGUCGGCUCUGGCAUCCUCCUGGGGAACGGUGCUGCGCUUGAUUGCGUGGUCCGGUAUUCAGGACUUUUACUUUGAGGAAAUUAGAGUGUUUACGGCAGGCAAGCGCCUUGAAUAUAUUAGCAUGGAAUAAUAACAUAGGACUUUGGUUCUAUUUUGUUGGUUUCUAGAACUAAGGUAAUGAUUAAUAGGGAUAAUUGGGGGCAUUCGUAUUAACACGUCAGAGGUGAAAUUCUUGGAUUGUGUUACGACGAACUACUGCGAAAGCAUUUGCCAAGGAUGUUUUCAUUGAUCAAGAACGAAAGUGCGGGGAUCGAAGACGAUUAGAUACCGUCGUAGUCUGCACCAUAAACUAUGCCAACUAGAGAUUGGAGGUCGUUCUUUUUAUGACUCCUACAGCACCUUAUGAGAAAUCAAAGUCUUUGGGUUCCGGGGGGAGUAUGGUCGCAAGGCUGAAACUUAAAGGAAUUGACGGAAGGGCACCACCAGGAGUGGAGCCUGCGGCUUAAUUUGACUCAACACGGGAAAACUUACCAGGUCCAGACAUAGUAAGGAUUGACAGAUUGAUAGCUCUUUCUUGA
rnacentral:rRNA from 1 species